GAAUUAUCUGAGCAAUCACCUCACAGCCUUUCUGAGGAGUAUUUGGCUUCCAGUUUCAGUGGCAACACAAGCCAUCUCUAGUCUCUGAUGGGCCCUAAUUCCUUUAGUCAUUUCUUGUAUGGAAGAAUUCUGAGUCUCCUUGGCAUCCUGGCUUGUUUCUCCCAUCUCCGGGGGAACUGAAGACGGACCGGAGUACUGGUAUUGGAGGUGUGCUCAAGUGAGCAUAGAGAGAGGAAAACAAUUUCUACCAACACAAGAAUGAGCCAGGAACAAAUUCUCUUCUAGAUCCUCUGUGAAUGGAACCACCCUGCUGAUAUGUUGAUUUUCAUGCAAUGGAGCCAUAUUGGAUUUCAGAUUUAAGACUAUAAAGUAAUAAA